ensembl:processed_transcript
GGUUUGAGGUGCUACUUACAAACAAAAGGAUGGGAAUAUGCUCUUUUCUCAGAAUAUGGUUCAUCUCAAGGCCAUUUACACUUUGGAGCCAGGCCUGUUCAGUUUUACAAAUAGCACAGGUUACUGUGACAACAUGAAGAGUUGAAGGUACCUCCCAGGAUGAUUGCAGGUAAUUGUCCAAGUAGAGCUUGGGCUUUCUCUAGGGAGACAUUGAAAUAGCACACUACAUUUUUGCUGCUUAUUCUGUGUAUUUCUAGAGAACCUUAUAUUAAGGCCUUUGUUCU